rnacentral:tRNA from 1 species
GCGCCCAUAGCUUAAAUGGAAAGAGCAUUUGACUACGAAUCAAAAGGCUGGAGGUUCAACUCCUCUUGGGCGCG